rnacentral:misc_RNA from 1 species
CAGAGUUCUCGCCCUUCCGGGUAGAUCUCCCACCCACUGUUAUCGUUACCGUCGUUUCUUUGGCGGGCCGCCGGGCCCUGCUCGGCCGCCGGCCCCGGCUGGCGCGUGCCCGCCAGAGGCCCUUCAAACUCUGAAUGUUAGUGUCGUCUGAGUACUAUACAAUAGUUA